AAAGGGUUUGGAGAGGUGACGGGACUACGCAGCAACCCCCAAAAAUCGUCGGUGGCAGCUCUUAACUGUGGUAGCAUAGACCUCAUAGAUGUUCUUCACAAUUUCGGCGGCACUACAGUAGGCUUCCCGAUUGGGUACCUAGGUCUUUCGCUCUGCACCGGCAGACUCCGGCUUGUGCACAUCCAGUACCUUCUCGACCGCAUCCACGCAAGGCUGGCGGCUUGGAAAGACCGUCUCUUGCCAAUCGCGGGACGUCGUGUGUUGGUCUGGUGCAUCUUGUCCGCAUUGCCUGCCUUCGCCAUGACCGUCCUAUGCAUCCCGAAAAGAUUCUACAAGGAUGUCGACAAGGCAAGACGGCGGUUCCUGUGGGCGCACGACGACGAGGUCACCGGCGGUAGAUGCAAAGUAAACUAG
rnacentral:rRNA from 1 species